rnacentral:rRNA from 1 species
GAUGAACGCUGGCGGCGUGCCUAAUACAUGCAAGUCGAGCGAACGGACGAGAAGCUUGCUUCUCUGAUGUUAGCGGCGGACGGGUGAGUAACACGUGGAUAACCUACCUAUAAGACUGGGAUAACUUCGGGAAACCGGAGCUAAUACCGGAUAAUAUUUUGAACCGCAUGGUUCAAAAGUGAAAGACGGUCUUGCUGUCACUUAUAGAUGGAUCCGCGCUGCAUUAGCUAGUUGGUAAGGUAACGGCUUACCAAGGCAACGAUGCAUAGCCGACCUGAGAGGGUGAUCGGCCACACUGGAACUGAGACACGGUCCAGACUCCUACGGGAGGCAGCAGUAGGGAAUCUUCCGCAAUGGGCGAAAGCCUGACGGAGCAACGCCGCGUGAGUGAUGAAGGUCUUCGGAUCGUAAAACUCUGUUAUUAGGGAAGAACAUAUGUGUAAGUAACUGUGCACAUCUUGACGGUACCUAAUCAGAAAGCCACGGCUAACUACGUGCCAGCAGCCGCGGUAAUACGUAGGUGGCAAGCGUUAUCCGGAAUUAUUGGGCGUAAAGCGCGCGUAGGCGGUUUUUUAAGUCUGAUGUGAAAGCCCACGGCUCACCCGUGGAGGGUCAUUGGAAACUGGAAAACUUGAGUGCAGAAUUGGAAAGUGGAAUUCCAUGUGUAGCGGUGAAAUGCGCAGAGAUAUGGAGGAACACCAGUGGCGAGGGCGACUUUCUGGUCUGUAACUGACGCUGAUGUGCGAAAGCGUGGGGAUCAAACAGGAUUAGAUACCCUGGUAGUCCACGCCGUAAACGAUGAGUGCUAAGUGUUAGGGGGUUUCCGCCCCUUAGUGCUGCAGCUAACGCAUUAAGCACUCCGCCUGGGGAGUACGACCGCAAGGUUGAAACUCAAAGGAAUUGACGGGGACCCGCACAAGCGGUGGAGCAUGUGGUUUAAUUCGAAGCAACGCGAAGAACCUUACCAAAUCUUGACAUCCUUUGACAACUCUAGAGAUAGAGCCUUCCCCUUCGGGGGACAAAGUGACAGGUGGUGCAUGGUUGUCGUCAGCUCGUGUCGUGAGAUGUUGGGUUAAGUCCCGCAACGAGCGCAACCCUUAAGCUUAGUUGCCAUCAUUAAGUUGGGCACUCUAAGUUGACUGCCGGUGACAAACCGGAGGAAGGUGGGGAUGACGUCAAAUCAUCAUGCCCCUUAUGAUUUGGGCUACACACGUGCUACAAUGGACAAUACAAAGGGCAGCGAAACCGCGAGGUCAAGCAAAUCCCAUAAAGUUGUUCUCAGUUCGGAUUGUAGUCUGCAACUCGACUACAUGAAGCUGGAAUCGCUAGUAAUCGUAGAUCAGCAUGCUACGGUGAAUACGUUCCCGGGUCU